GGUGGGUGCAUUGAGGGGGGCAGGGGCAGGCAAGUGAAGGAGGCAUACACAUACACCCUUGAUGGAUAAAACAGAAUAAAACAUGUUUUCGACAGAGGCACAAGGAAAAGGCCAAGAGGGAAGAGGAGCAAUUAAUUCUCCAAAAAGUUCAAGACAGCCUUCAUGGAUAUAGUGACAUUUGAGCAAGACCUUGAAGAAGCAUUUCAGGAGGAAGAAAGAUAAGAACAGAGAAACCUGCAUUGUUUUGCCCCAAAUCCCACAGCUGGAAUGUGGCUGAACAGAGGUCCAAGUACACUUCUCUAUCUCCGAGUCCUGCAUUUCUUCCACAGCAUGGCCCAGGUUUACACGCCCCAGUAUUUAAACCAGCACAAGUGCACCAGCGGACUGCUCCACAGCCACACCUCCAACCUUCAGCCCAAGGAGCACAGCCAGCCCUGGAGGAGCUGCAGCUCAAGAUGUUGAUGCUGCAAACAGGGAGAUGCUGUGGUCAACCUUGACUGUCCUCCCAAACUACUGAAGACGCACUCCCCUGCAGUCUGGCUCUACCUCCCACUCUCAUUGGGCCUUUUUCUUUUUCUUUUCUUUUCUUUCUUUCUUUCUUUUUUUCUUUCUUGUCUGCAAAGCUUAGACCAAAGUAAGUAAUCUAGAAAUAUCCAGAAAAGAGUUAAUUAAAACAACUCAGGUUGAGAAGGCAGAUGCAGAAGAUCAAGGAGCUUCUGAAGUUGACACAGGACUCUAAGAGGGAGAAAUGAAUCUCAAGACCGCUGUGGGACAUGUGCUCCUGCAACUUCACAAUUGAUCUCGUAGAGCUAUUGCCUUACACAUAAUUGCUCCAAAUUAGGUGUUGCAUUUUAUUGCAUUAAAGCCUUGCUAACUUGU